UACAGAGGGGGCAAGCGUUAUUCGGAAUUAUUGGGCGUAAAGGGCGCGUAGGCGGCUUUGCAAGUGACGGGUGAAAUCCCUCGGCUUAACCGAGGAACUGCCUGUCAAACUGCAUGGCUUGAGACCGGGAGAGGUGAGUGGAAUUCCCAGUGUAGCGGUGAAAUGCGCAGAUAUCAGGAGGAACACCAGCGGCGAAGGCGGCGCUCUGGGCCGGUACUGACGCUGAGGAGCGAAAGCGUGGGGAGCAAACAGG
rnacentral:rRNA from 1 species